rnacentral:misc_RNA from 1 species
UGACAAUUACUGAGUAAUUGCUUUGCUUAUUGCAUGCUAAUUGCUGAAAAUUGCUUUUUAUUUUAAAUUCCUUAGCUAAAAAUUGCUUUUUCUUUCACAUUUCUCUGCUUAUUGAAUGACUAUUGCUAACUCAUUAGAUAGAACCUACUUCUCAUAUAAGUAGGUGGAUGCGGCCUCGAUUAGCGGGGGAACCACAUGAAAAAAAGCGAGCUACUGGGUGUACCUCCUGGGUAGUUUGGAAAUCACCUAAUAUAUAUAUGUAUAUAUUUAUAAAUAAAAGUUAAUAUAUAUAAAUUAACAUUAUUUUUUUUUAACAGGAAAUGCACAAUGCUAAAAACUGCGUAGGAGAUUUUAAUACAAUAGUACUACCAAGCCUGAUGUUGGCCGCUAUUUCAAUGAAUGCAGCAGUGUGACAGCUAGCAAUCAAAAGUAACAAGAUAUCGAGGAAAUGCAGAUGGCAAUAAACUGUGUAGGAGUUCAUGAUUGCAAUAGAAUAAAAUCGACCAAGCCUGAAGUCAGCAGCCCCCCUUCAAUGAAUGCAGCAGUGUGACAGCCAGCAAUCAAAAGUUACAAGAUAUCGAGGAAAUGCAGAUGGCAAUAAAUUGUGUAGGAGUUCAUGAUUGCAAUAGAAUAAAAUCGACCAAGCCUGAAGUCAGCAGCCCCUUCAAUGAAUGCAGCAGUGUGACAGCCAACAAUCAAAAGUUACAAAAUAUCGAGGAAAUGCAGAAGGCAAAAAACUGCGUAGGAGAUCAUUAAUACAAUAGUAUUAUAUAAACCAAACCUGAUGUUGGCCGCUCAUUCAAAGAAUGCAGCAGUGUGACAGCCAGCAAUCAAAAGUAACAAGAUGUCGAGGAAAUGCAGAGUAUAAUAAACUGUGUAGGAGAUUAUGAUUGCAAUAGCAUAAAAUCGACCAAGCCUGAAGUCCUUCAAUGCACGCAGCAGUGUGACAGCCAGCAAUCAAAAGUUACAAGAUAUCGAGGAAAUACAGAAGGCAAAGAAGCAGAUGUCAUCAAAGAAGAUCUUUGUUCCUGCAAUGUUUCCGCAGACGAUACAACCAACAGAGCGAAGUGGAAGGAAAAGACUCGGAAUAAAGACCCCACCACCAUAUGGGAACAAUGCAAGGGAGAGAGAGAGAAUAUAAUGUUAUAUUUUUAUUUUUUGAUAACAUAAAAUAAACCA